CUGAGCAAGCUAUAAAUAAUUCACAGUUGUAAUUCUUUUCAAAAUUCCAGAAUCCAGCGUCCUCCAAUCAUCACCGAACAUUUGAUUCAGUCACUGUCAAUCAAUGGGCCAGCUACCAGGGCACUUAUCAGACGUUCAUCACUAUCCUGCAACCCUCCUUGAUUCGUCACCAUCAACACAUCUUUUCUCCUCUCCCUUUUGUGCAUGGUGUCGAAGUCCUCCAUCCAAGAAACUGAGGCCUCAUUAAAUCUUCUUGAGCCGAUGACUAAGCUGUCUAUCGCCUCCUUUGCUUUGAGCACCCAGAUCGAAUGGAGAAGGGACUAAUAUCCCCCACAAUCUGCCCAACUUGACGUCGUUGAGUCUCCAUCCCAUUGGCGCCGACGAUGUCAUCCACCCCCGUCUCUUCAUGUUUCUGUAUGCUAAAUAGGUUUAAAGAAUAAUCCUAAAUAAUUAGACUUCUAAUUCUUGAUUGGAAAAGAAGUCUAAUCCCACAGUUUGGCCUACCCAAUAACCUAUGGUCGAUCAGUCACCUUAAAUUCAAUUGGACUCAAGACCCACAUUCUAAAUCCAUCAUAGUGAAGGUGGCAGCCCUCUUCCUUUACUUGAAUGGAUCAAGUCUAACCUCCACCGUAAGAUUCAUCCAACGGACCACACUCAUCCAGAAUGAGAACAAAUAAAUUAAAGGAUUAACUCAACUUUAAUUAAUUUGGCAACCCAAAAGUUAAAUUGAGUUUUACCACUACAGUAAACUACUCAGUCAACUUCUCAAAUUACAUAAAUUAAUUUGUUUCCAAAUUCAGAUUUCUACUCGACGAGAGUAGGAUUUUAUUCAAACCAAAAUUUUUACUGUUAAACCAGAAAUUGAGGUGUUAAGGGUAAUUGAAGGAGUUCGACCUCCUUUUCGACUAUUUGAUUCUUCAUUUUGAAAAAUGUUGGUAAAAACCUAUAUAUUUUACUAUUUAAGAUGUUUUCUAGAUUUGUAGUCCUUGAGGGGAAAAUUUAUUUUCCAUUGAUGUUUGUUGCCAUCUCUAAGACCUUUGAGAUAUUACGGUUGGGUUGUCGUUUAACUAUUUCGGUAUUAGGUUUGUUUACUAUGAGUCAAAUUGGUUAGGUAAAACCCAUGGUUCGGUUGCAUUGGUCACAUCAAUGGUUCGAUUGGACUUUAUUAGGGUGGGGGUUUUACAAUAAACAUCUGAAAUAACAUAUAAUUUUAAAGGGUCCUUACAAACAAGAUUAGAAAGACCAAAAAUUGCAACAACAUUGAUAAAUACCUCAUAAAAUUCACUAUCAUCAUGCACAUUAGCAUAUUUGAUUCUAUCAUUCAAGCGAAAAUUAACUUCAUAAGUUCCUAUUUUAAGAGUCAAUCAAUGAUUAAAUAUAUCAAUCACAGCUUAUAGCCUAUAUCAACAACUAGUGGCCACUAGUGCUAGUUCACCUCAACCUAGUUGUUGAUAUAGGCUAUAUGGCAUGACACUUAUAUUAGCUCCUAAAUUAGAAAGACAUAAUGAACUUUAAUAGGCUUAAUUAUGCAAGGUAAUGUAAAGUUUCAUGGGUCUUUUGUUAGGCUGCAUGAGCACAUUGAUGUGCAUUCCUCAUAUUUAGGGUGACCACUGAGAUGCCAUUGAUGCUUAUCUUCUUGUUUAGGAUGUCCUUCAUGAAUUUUGCUUAUAUUGGAAUUUUAGUAAAGGAUUUCAUAAAUGAAAGAGAGACUUCCAAAGAAAUCACUCAAAUUCCUGCCUGGAGUACUAUUUUUUAUAGACGUCGAAUAGAUAGAUUCCCGCCGAAAAUAUUUCUCCAAAUCAACUUUGAGCUUUUUUGGUGUUGGCAGCCAUGGGAGAUGAUGGAGGAGUCAUCUUUUUUAAUCGGUUAUUUUAUGUCUGGAAUAUCGAUUGCAAUGUCAUCUGGAAUCAUCUUUGGUUUUGGGUUUAUCUUUGGGUUUCCUUCAACCUCCUUUCUACUACGAAAGGAGAUUCCUCAUGCUUGAUUGGUGCACACUUGAUUCUUGUUGUUCUUUGGGGUGACUUCGGUGUUGCACGAAAGUGUGCCUGGAGGAGGCCUUCCAUCUAAUUUAUGCAUAAAAACCAACAUAAAAUUGUGCUUGAUUUGUAAUUGAUGAAAGGUUGAGUGACUGGUCUGUAACUAGUAAAUUGCUUAGGGGUCAUUUUGUAAAUUCCAAAAAGUUGGAGGAUCGAUUUUAUAAUUUUCCAAUUCGGGUAGCAAAAUGACAGUUCGGCCCCUACAAAGUUCAACUUCUUCGAAAGGAGUAUUUGGAGCAUAACUGGACGGUUGCAACUCCAACCAGCGCAGCAUAAGAAGCUGUGCAUUUGUGGCAACAAGUGGAAUCACCUCAUGUUCGAUCACGACGUGUCAACUUGUCUAAGACAAGAAGGCUGUUAUUACAUUUCUAUCUAGCCUAAGUAGAAUUGGCUGAUAGCUCUAAUGUUAUUCUUGCCUGCUACCACUGUAUAGAGAUUGUUGCUCUUGUUGACAUGUGAUGUCCAGAGCUUGAAGAUCCUCUAUUUAGCAACUCUAAGCCUAUUAUAUCCUGACUGUGUAGUAUCAUUACUAUUGAACCUGAACUUAGAAGACUCAAGCUGAACCACUGGUUCAACCCAAGAGUGCUACUCGUGUUCCUACUUUACCAACCUUAACUAAUAUCUACUAAUAAUUACACAUAAAUAUGCAUUAAAGACAAGUGUUGAAACCGUUUUUAAACCUUUAAAAUCAAAAUCCUUAAAUAUAACCUUUAUAAGACAUGAGAAAGGAGAUGCAACUUCAUUUCGUAAAUGCAACAUAAACACCAACAUCAAUUCCAUUAUCAAAACAUAGCAACUCUCCCCAUGUCUAGCUCCAGUACAUGUGACUGAAAUACAUAGAUACAAAUAGAAAGACAAUAUGAUAAUGGGGUCAGUGAUAAUCACUAAGAUUCAUCAUCCAAGUGGACCUGAGUAGGAUUAAAAAAAGUAAGAAAUAUCAUCGAAUACAUCACCUCAAAUACUCAAGUCGAUACUAGUAAUGUGACUAUAUGAAUUAGUUAUCAUACUACCUACCAUCAGCGAACCCUAUCAUCAAGUGGAUGGCCUCAUACUGGGUAGACCAUGAAAUCACCCUAAACCGAGUGAACAACAUCAGACGACAUACUCAACGUGCCCUUAAUAUAAUCUUUACAUUUCUAAAGGAUUGGAUAAUAUGGGGGUGGGUGAUCAAAGCAUUCACAUCAACAACAUCUAAUAUAACUAAGCAUAUCGUUUCCUACAUUGUAUAGUGGAUCACGCACCAUUGUACAGUCCUCGAGAGCUUCCUGCUCAAAAUCCGUAGCACAUUCUAUUCAGUAGAUCACACGCUACUGUACAGCCUUUGAGACCUUCAUGUUCAACAAUCAACUUCUAUACAAGGUAAAUUCAAUCCAUAAGAUACCCAACAUCUAACUAAAGUUCUACAUUAAUAAAUGCUAAGACUGAAACAUACACCCGCCAUUUCUUGAGAGCUUUCCUGAAGAUUCUAAACCGAGACCCACAUCUGACUCGCCCACCUCCUUCCCCUCCAUAAGCUUACGGGUAACGUCCACAUUGACUACCUACGAUCCGCCUUCAUAAGCACCUUUGAUCAUUCAAUCUUCGAAGGAGACUUUCACUCGGUAGGUUGUUGGGAGAAAAAGAGGAAGAAUGGUUUAUGUCAUCGUAGGGUUCUGGCCCAGCUAAACUUAUAUACUAGUCGCAUCACGCCCACGAUGAAUGAAUCACCAUGACCUUAGGGAUCAACUCAUCAUGCCCAUGGUUAGCAGCUAAUCAAGCUCGUGAUGAGUAAGUAGUCUCGCCCGUGAGAAACAACUGAUCACUCCCGUGAUAAGCAACUGGUCAUGUAGUGACCUAACUCUGGAGAUCACUUCCUUGGCAUAGAACUCGUUCAUAGAAAAUGGAAACAAGGUGUCAUAACUCUCCCAACCUAUAAAAGGUUUCGUCCCAAAACUGAAAUCUUAAAACUUGGGAGGGCAAAGCAGUUUAGCUCUGUGCACUUUGCUACAGACCAAUGCAACGCUCCCCCACGUUGGCCUUGUCCUCCUAAAUGAGCCGCGACAUGAAAAACACUGGUACCUCAGUAAUUCUUCAUUUGCGAGACUUCCCAUCCUUAGUUUAUGUUGGCUCCCUUUUAAGGUUAAAUAAGGCUUUAGCCAACUCAACCACGUCUGGUCGGAUCCCUCGGUCCAGCCUACCAUCGGAGAUUUUAGGCACACUAACAUGGAAUAUAAUACGAAUCUGCUCAAGGUCUAUGAGCAAUCCAGCUUGAAGCCAUCGGUCCCACUCUCCGGAUUGUCGGCCUUCCUCUCUAAUCUGGUAUCCCAUAAUGCCUCCACCCUUCUUACUAGGAUGUGAAGCCCAAAUCCACAUGUUCAGGUAAUUUACUAAUUGAAAUCGUUCCUACGGUCCUGCACGGUUGAACUUGCUUAAUUUGUAGUGUACGACUUGGCGGUUACCAACCUGGUCCACUGUCUGCAUUUUCCUAGGUCAUCCAUAACCUAGGUUUCCCCUUGGCCACUUUAUAGUUCUCAGACGAUCAACUAUACCUCGCCUGACGACCGACCUAUAAUGCUCAAGGUUUUUCAUGAUUCUUGAAUCUUUAACGAAUCCGGUCCAGGGUUGGUGCUAAAGUUUGGAGAACCCCGAUGCCUAAUUAUAUCCAUCAGCCAUUCACUGUUGGCCAAAUCUGAUUUUGGCCCAUUUCCCUAGCCCACCUUGACUUUGAUCAUUGAUGGACCAUGCAUGUGGUUGCCAUUCCACUACGCCCAUGCUCACCAUUCUACCACAGCCUAUGGUGGACAACCAACCAUGCCCAUGGUCGCCUUUCCACCAAGCCGUUUAUAUAUAGAACAAUAGUAGCCCUUAACCCUAAAUCCCUAAUGUUACUCCAUAUUAUAGUGAUUAUCGCACCCGACUUAGCUACCAUUUAGCUCGUUUUGAUUGAUUUCAGACCGUUUUUUACUGAUUUGAAAUGCUUAGGAAGGGUUUUGUAGUUUGUCCCUCAAUCGGUCCAUUCAGGUCCAUUUAGCUUGUAUCCUUGAGUUUUCUCUAAGGUUUUAGGUAUUCAACGGAUAGAUGGUUCAAAGACGAAGCCAAUGGUUCAACUCAAAGAUCAAUCAGAGGUCGGACAAGCAAGAUAUGGUCGAAAUAUAAUUUUGGGAGCAGUUCUGAAUAUCAGUCACAUGCGGUGUGUGUACGUACACACGUCGCGUGACCCCUGCAGGCAGCCAUAUAGAAGGCGAUUUUGAGGAUAAGAGGCAUAAUUCUCAUAACUUUUCACUUGGAUCUGAUUGUAUCUCCUCUCCACCAUGGUCCUAGAACCCUAGAAGAGAAGAUUAAAGAUCAAUUGGAGUCCCUCGAUCUUGAAUGGAUUGAUUGAAGCCAUGAGCAAAGAUCAUGGAAUAAGGAAGCUUGCAUCACCAAGUUCUCUACCUUAGGGCUCAAGGAUGGUGAAUGUAUGCCUUUUUUCUUCUCUUAGUUUCAUCAUGAUCGGCUAGAACCUCUUGUUCUUAGGUUAGGGAUAAUGUUGGUGCAAGAAUUAUCCCCUCAUGAUGAGGAUUUGUGCAAGAAUUGGAUGAUUUUUGGUAUCUGAGUUGUUCUUUGAUAUGUGCUUGAGUCCAAUUGUUAGUUAUGCCUUUCAUUGGAUAAAUUGAGGGAGAUUUAUGCAUGACCAUCCUUGCUUGCCCUAGGGAAAUUUCAUUGAAUGAGAAAUUGGUAGUAUUGGAGGACUUUCAAGACCUAAUUCAUCCAUAUUUAGUGAAGUUUGAAUUGAGGCAUUUCAUCGAACACUUGGUGUGCAUGUUGAUUCUUGCGUAGUGGACCAAACUAGGUUGAAAUAGGGUUUUAGGGUGUCGAUGUGCCGCAUUAGCAUCGUUCCUAGGUGUUUGGUGUGUCCCUUUUCCCUCUUCGUUGUCGUAUAAUUUCGAUUGAGCUUAAGUGAUUGCGCUUUUACCCUACGAUUUGUUUGUGACCACAUCAAGUUGUAAGAGUUAUUGCUAGUGAGUUGUGUGUGACCAUGCACAUAGACAUAGACGAAUAGGAAUGCAUGGAAGCUUACUUACUGAAUGAAUCCAAUUUGAGUCCAAUCUUUGUUGUCCAAGGUUUUGAGCAUCAACUAAUCCUUAAGUCUAGGAACGCCUUCCAUCCAUUGUCUACUCUUGUUCCUCUCUAUUCUUGCCUACUUAUUUGACUCCAUAGUGCCACUUUUUUAGCUAAACCUCAAGAAAUCAAGAUAGAAAACAUCCUUUGAAACUCUUUCCGUAUAAACUCUGAACCUAAGGGUUGAGUUUAAGCUUGGUGAGAGAACCUCGAGAAAAAUAACGACACUUAUUUCCCUAGGUAUUCAUUAACACCCUUUCUCUAGUGAUCAAUCCCCAAAUUGUAAAAUUCUUUAGUCACGGUCGUUGUCGCCCAAAGCAUGUCUCCCCUGAUUCUUGUCUGCAUUUCCUGUGAGCAUCCCUUCUCCCGUCCUUUUCCUUGGCCACCAAUGAUUCUCUUACUAACCGCCUCUUCUUUUCAGUCCCCCACCCCCUCGUUUCAUCGUCAAGAUCCCUCAUCUACCAUGUGUUCUUCAUCCUUCAUAGUAAGUAACCUCUUUCUCUAUACUCUUAAAUCUACAUUAGGUCAUUCCCUUGUAUGAUGGAAAAUGGUUAUGAUUCUAACCCAUAAAUCCCUACCAACAUGCACCAAAAUUAUAGGGCUCGAUGUGUAGAAUUCUUUUGUAUUGCUUUUGGUAGUCAUAAUUACAUGCUGCACAUCAGAUCCCAUCAGCAACCAUGCCUGUGAUGGUGUAUCCAUCAUACCCAUUGUGAGCGUUAACCAGGCAGAUCUUGUUUGGGGCAUUGUUCACGCUAAUGCCGAGUUCCUAAAUUAAUCGAGAAUGGUUCACAUGUAAUGUUUCAAGCUGCUUAGGGGCAAGCCCAUUCGUCUGGUUUGGGUGAUUAACUGGGAUGAGAUCCGAGCUACUCCUUUUGCAAACUAGGAGGAGAGGGCAGCUAAGCUCCUCCACAGAGGGCAUGCUAAGCAUGUUUUUUACCUGGCUGGGCAUGCCAUGAAGGUGCUCACCCAUGAAUUCUUUGCCUCUCGGUACAUCGCCCGAAUGAUAGGGCGGGCUAAACUGCCUCUCAUAUUUUCGAUAGCAGGUAAUAUCUAGUCCCUCUUUCUUGACGAUAUUGUCAUGAUUUGUGGCUUCUACUCAAGGAGGACAUACCUACCGACUGGUUGUGUGGCCCGAUCAAAACUUUUGCUAACAUCAGCUCAGCCAUGCAGUCCUAGUUCCAACUCAUGAAGAGGAGCAUCUGAAUUUUUGUUGGUAAGGGUCGUAACUCCAUCUUCUCUCAUUUUCCAUGAUCUAUUUACAUGUCUCGUCCUGAAUUUUUAGAACUUUACAUAGAUAUCAUUGCAUGUUCACAUGUGUGACCAAGGCCAGCAAGUACAAGAAAAAUCUCAUAUGCUUCCUAAAGUACAUGAUGGCCCACUCCAUUACUAGGCAAACAGAGAGUAUGGGAGGCAUCACUCUCGGGGAGUUCGCUCGCUUGUACUCUUAUCUGGUGGGGAGCCAAUUCACCUAGGAAAACUCAUAUCCCUCACUCUACAGACCUUCUACUUCAACUCCAACCUAAAGGUAAGCCCUUAUUGUGCCUAUGUCCUCUGGUGUAUAUCCCGCAAUGUGUGAACAUGUGUAAAAAUGGGGUGUCACAAUUAUUGUGAUAGACUGUACUAUACUUGUUGUGCGCAGGCUACCCACCCACAAGUUACGCAACCGUUAGGUGAUUACUGUUACUGUUGAGCGUGUGGUGCAUGCCAUAGAUGCUGCUCACACAAAUUUUGUUAGCUUCGUGGUCUGAUCCACCACGAACUUAGCUCACUGACUAUAUGGGUGUGUGGUACUAGUUAGAUAUGUGUUUUGUACACUAGACCACUAUGGUUACCUUUCUAGGGUCGGUACUGGGUUAGUGAUGUUACCAUAUUGUUGGACCAUAAUGGUUCCUGAUUCUGUGGAUAUCUCCAUUGUAUACAUGUCUCUGUUCAAGCUCUUUUACCUUUCCUUUGAUGCAUUUUUUACGGUUUUUUGGUAAACACGAUGUGCUUAUCACUAACCUCAUCUUGGAUAUGCCUGUCUUUCAGUAUGGUAUUAAUGUAUUAAGUCAGUCACUGGUAUAGGAGCUGGGGAGAGUUGGUCAUCUGGCUUUGUUUUAUGGAUUUGAUGUGUAUUUUAUGAACUGGGGGUUGCAUCUCUGUUUACCUAUGCUUUUAAAGUAUAUAUUGAAGCUUCCAUGAUUUGUACUUGACUUGUAAAAUCUUGAUUUAAUUAUUGUAAUUGCUUCAAUUUUUCAUGCCUUAUUGUGCAUUUGACUAGUUCUUGUUAAGUCUCGUCUAGUAAAUCCCUUGGUUAUGAUGCAUGGGUCAGACCAGUAGUUCAACCAAAAUCUUUUAGGAUGGGUUAAUAGUAAGAACCGAGCAAACCCUUAUAAAACCAGUCCUACAAGUCCAAACCAAAUCUUAGUUCUUUAAACCUAGAACCCUUGGAGAAACGUCCCAUGAAAGUACCAACUCUUUAUCUUACUUCAAAAUAAGUCAACUAAGCUUUAUCUUAAAUCACAAUGCGUUUUUCAACUCUUUAAAACACAACAAGUCAUGAAUAUUUGUGAAACCUUUUUAAAACAAACAUGUUUGGAAAUACCAUCAAACCAAGCAGAGUCCUCAAAUUCACUUUAAAUGAACAGAAGCCAAAAACCAAAGAAGGUGCAGAAAUCUACCUUGAAGAAGAAAAACCAUUUAAAAUGAACUAUUUAUCCUAGAGACGAUGCUCCUUGUCCUAUAGACUAUCCAUUCCAUUACAACAUUAGUAUGAAACACCAGUUCGUUCUAGUCUAAUGUACCCUUCUAACAAAAAGAACAUGCAUCGAUCAGCAAAGACAUGAGAAACAUGGUAUCACCAAAAUAUCAAAUGUUUUGGUGACAGUCAUGCCCACCCAAUCUACUCUAGUUUGGACAGAAAGCAUGAACAUCUAAUAGUAGAACACAAGACGCACACGGUAUAACUUGCAACUUCCAAGUUUAUUCCUGAGGUCCUUCCUCCUCCGAGUCGUUCCUAAUGACACAGUUUGGUCUUUGACUUGAUUCUUUGACCGAGCACACCACGCCAAUGGCACACCUUCCCUCCAUGAUCGUGCUCUCCGACAUCACACAAGUGGCAUUCCCUGGCUUCCUCUUGAUAGUAGCACCUCAUUUCUUGAUUGCUUGUAAGCAACUUGAGCAGAAGACACUUGCAUCAUCAUUUGAGAUUCCUUUUGUCCUAGGUGCAACACCCCCAACGAGCAAAGACAAGACAAAAUUGUAUUCCCACUAAAGGUUCAUAGAUAUUUCAAUCCUAAUAAUGGCUCUACAGAAAAUGUUGGAUUUCAGAGGACUCGUAGAGUCUCAUUUUCAGUUACUCAUACCCUCCUUCUUUCUUCUAGAACUAAAACACGCUAUAGAAAAAGAUAAAGAGUCAGGAGAUCCAACAAAUUAUAUCCUUGGUUCUUCAAUACUUUUUUUGCCUUCCUAAAUCUGAUGGGAGAGUGUUCAUUCACACCUAUAAGAAGUUUUCUCAUCAACCUUAUCCUUUUCCUUCAAAACAUUUUUCCUUAAAAACCUUUUCUAAAAGAUAGAGUUUACAACACCAAAGACCCCACAUAGACUCUAGAUAGAGUCCAUUAUCAAAAUCUAGUACCGUUAAAAGAAUGGAAUACCUUCUCCCCUUUAAAGUUUGCGACACCUCAUAAAAGUAGGUAGCACACCCAUACCGCUUUUGCCUUCUUGGAGCUUGUGGGAGAGCGAUAAGUCACAACUAUCAAAACUUUUCUCAAAAAUAUUUUCCCUUUCCUUCAAAAUAUUUUUCCUCAAAAACCUUUCAAUAGAGAUAAUUUACAACACUAAGGACCCAUAUAGACUCUUGAUACAGUCCCAUAUGGAAACUCUAGUACCAUUACAGGAAUGAAAUACCUUCUCCCCUUUGAGGUUCGAGAUACUUCAGAUGAUAUCACAUGUAUAAAGAUUUGGACUUCAAAGAACUGGUGGGAGAGCGGUCAUUCAGAUCUUUCAAAACCUUUUUCAAAAACAUUUUCCCUCUUCCUUCAAAAUAUUUUUCCUUCAAACUUUUUUCAAAAGAUAGAGUUUACAACACCAAGACCCAUAUAGACUCUAGAUAUAAUGCCCUAUGAAACGUAUAGUACCAUUACAAGAAUGGAAUACCUUCUCCCCUUUGAAGUUUGCAACGCCUCUGAGGAGCAGGUAGCACACCCAUAAGACUUUUCCUUCCUGGAGCUGAUGGAAGAACGGUUAAUCACAGCUAUCAAAACUUUUCUCAAAACCUUUUCCUUUUUCCUUCAAAACAUGUAAGUUAAAAAAACCUUUUCCAAAUGACUGAGUUUACAAAACCAACAACCCAUAUAGACUCUUGAUAUAGCCCCCUAUGGAAAUUCUGGUACCGCUGCUGGAAUGGAAUACCUUCUCCCUUCUAUUGUUCGCGACGCAUUAGAGAAGUACGUAGCAAACUCAUGAGGUGGAAGACAAACAAGUCUAUUAUACCUAGUUUUAAAACCCACCCUAGAAGAAUUCGGUCAAACUACUAGUCUGACACUUGCAUCCUGAGUCUUUACUAGUCCAGACUUAUCAAAAAAUAACUCAAAAGAACAUAGCACAAAAACAGAAGCAAUUUAUAAAAUACAAUGCGAUUCAACAUGUAAAGUACAACACUUGAUGCUUUAAAUACAUGCUUUAGAAAAAAUAGUGAUUGGAGAUAACUCGCUGUUCUUAAAUACUUAAAAAAAGAAAAACAAGAUACCAACUCUACUAGCCUCCAGCUAUAUGAAUUGUGCCUAAACACACUUAUACAAUAUAGAAAGCCAAGCAAAACUGUGUCAGGGUCAUUAAUUAGCAAAGAGUGUCUAGCAGACAACCAUAGGAGUAGCACAUACAAAUAGGAAGGUAAAUAGUAGGUAGCAACAAGAAGUCAGAACUGUAUAGUGAAAUAGUAAAAGUGGUGAUAAAAGGCAAUGACUAGAGGCACUAGUGCUCAGCCUAUCAUCUCUUGUAAUGCGAGCCUAGCGAUCCAGUCAUCAAUCCCUCAUUUCUUGUAAAGUGACUAUAGCGGUCUACUAAUCAAUUAUUUAUUUUUCUACCAAGUAGCAUUCACCCUUACAGUCAGGAGGGUAGCAUCGUAGCUAAUCAAACAAUCAAACAACAUCUCAAACAUACUCUACACAUACGACAUUAAUAGGUCAUUUUUUGACGAGAUAUUUUGGCCAAAAUAACUCGUUUUGAGUUAUUUCGGCUAAAAUACCUUGUUUGGCAUCUAACACACAAUCUCUGGUAUAUCAGAUCAUGGUAUUUCAAAUAAAUCACUUUUGAGUUGUUUCAUAUACCUCAUCAAAAUGACUAGUUUGGCAACCAAAACAAAAUGUGUGGUAUUUUGGGAUGUGAUAUUUGAAACAACUCAUUUCUAGUUAUUUUAAAUAUCUCCCCACCAUCUAGGUACUUGAAAUACCUCCCUAUUGCUAGAAUGUGGUAUUUUCGUUACCAAAUACUACAUUGGAUAACUCACACCACACUGACUUUGCACCGCAUAAAUAUCAUAUUCUCAAAUAAACCAUCAUUUUAUUCCAGAAUACCACGUAACCAAAAUACCACAUCCAAAUGACCCACAAUGGUAAUCACCUAAAGGGUUGUAUAAACCGAGGGGGAGGGUACCCGACACACAUCAUAGAACAUUAUAGUCAUUCUCAGUAGGAUGUUCCUCUGUCACGAUGCAGUAGAAUGAGGAUUACUAAUCAAUGGAACUUCAAGCCCUAGACAUCACAUGGUAUCAAGUCUCAAUAUAAUUCACAAGUCAAUAGUAGCAGUAGUCUCUAUAUUGUGGUAGUAAGCAGAAAUAAGAAUAAAGUCGUAAGACAAUUCUACUAAGGCGAAGAAAAAAUGUACAGGAACCUUGACCUCUUAAAUGAGCCGACACCUCUUAAUUGGACUUGAGGUGAUUCCAGUUGCUUCCACGAAUCCAUAUCUUCUCACGGUGCACCCUUUGGAGCUCAAACAGUGGAGUUAUAAUCCAUUAACUCUUUUGCAACUUGUAAAAACAUAAAUGGGUAGAACCGUCAUGUCAUUGCCUAGCUUGGCAAGUUAUAGAACGAGCUACCCAACAAAAUACAAACAAGUCCCUAAACCUCACAAAAAUUACAGACAUGUCACUUAUCCAAACUUAAUAGAACUUUCCUAAUGUUGUUGAUUGACCAUUGAAAUUUCUAAAAGUUGCAAAGCCAACCAUCAUCUUCUCCGGUGAGGUCCUUUUUGUUAGCAGGCAUGCCCAAUUUUUCAAGCGAGACUCAAAGGAUCUUGGAGCUCGUGCAACUAGAUGCAAAUCGAACCCCUAACGGUCCUUAUUACUCCAAUGAGCCUCUCCUACUAAUAUAAACUAUACUAUUUUUUACAUGUGUGCCGGCUACCACCCUCUAGUUGCACAACCCUUUAAGUGAUUACUUUUUAUCUGACGUGUAGAGUAUGCCAGAGAUUUUGCGCACAUGGGUUAGGAGGUUUUGUGGUCUGAUCCACUACAAAGCUACCAUAAUUAAUAUUGGUUUUGCAGAAACAAGAUAAUUGAUUACUGGACUGCUAUAGUCGCUUUACUAGAAAUGAGAGAUUAAUGAUUGGACCGCUAGGGUCGCAUUACUAAAGAUGAGAGAUUGAACAAUGGUGCCUCAUAUCAUUGCAUGUAUCACCACUAUUCGUAUGUUAGUGUACUGCUCUGAAUUCCGGCUGUUACCAGUUAUUUAGCUUCAUAUAUGUAUUUACUUGUACCAUGGAUGUCUUGUAGGCACUCAGUGCUUAUCACUGACCCCAUCAUGGUUGUACUUGUCUUUUUGUAUUGUAUUUAUGUGUUCAGUCGCAGGUAUUGGAUCUAGAGCUGGGGAGAGCUGGUCGCUUGGGUUUUCAAAUUUUUAUGUAUUUAAGAACCGUGAGUUACCUCCAUUUGCAGUCUUUCUAAAAGGUAGUAUUUAAAGCUCCAAGAGUUGUACUUGGCUUGUUAAUCACAUUGUAUUUAAUGAAUUUAUUCUAUUUUCUACUAUGUUCAAUGUGAGAUUAGUUAUUUUCUUAUUAGUUAUGAUGCAUGGGUCAGACUAGCGGUUUGACCAGAGUCUUCUAGGGUGGGGUUUACACCUGCUAGAGAAGUUCACUUUGAAGUGGGUGAUAAACUCUUCUUCAAGAUAUCACCUUGGAAGGGAGUGAUGAGGUUCGAAGAAAGGGGAAGUUGGACCCUGGGUUCAUUGGUCUAUAUGACAUCUUGAAAUAAGUGGGAAAGAUAACCUAUGAGCUUUCUUUGCCCAAAUAGUUGGACCGCAUUCACAAUGUGUUCCAUAUGGGUGGGCUGAGAGGAUUCGAUGAUAGAUCGGGAUAAGUAAUACUUGUAGAUGAUGUGAAAUUGGCUAAGGACCUCACCUACCAUGAGGCAUUUGUUCGGAUUGUUGGUUAUCAAGUGCGAAAACUAAGGAAUAAGCUUAUUUAUAUGCUCAAUGUUUGAUUAGGAGAUUCCAAGCAGCAACACUUCGAGAUUUGACUAGUAAUGAGAUCUUGGAUAUAAACAAGAUCAUUGCACUACUUUGCGAAAAGAGUAUUCCCCCUAUAAGCCUUAGGUAUUAGGAAAUCCCUUUUGAGGAUAAGAUUACACUCAAGUUAUUAGGCUUUAGAAACUAGAGUAACUGAGAAUUUUGUAGGUUAGGAUAGAUGCCUGAUUUCCUGUGUGUUCUCCCUUGAAAAUUGUUGUGACACCUCGAUUUUGGUUCAGUGGUAUAUCUUUUAGUUUGAUUUAAAUCUUACUCGUUGAGUAGAAGUUGGGAGUUGGAACCGAAUUAAUUUAAUUAAUUUGAGAAGGUGACUCGACAGUUGAGCAAGUAUUAAAGGCUUGCAAGGCUCGAGAUAAUUAUUGAGUUUACUAAGUCAAUCAAUAGGAGUUAAGUCUUCGAUUUGAUAGUUAUAAGCUUGGACAGAUCUAGACUGUCGGAUUAAUCCAACGAUGAGGAUGAGCCUUGAUCAGAUUAAGUGUGAGGUGAAGACUCCACUUCAAUUUGACUUGGGCUUGGCUGUGGGCUUUUUCAGUUAUUUAGUUAUGGUAACGGAAGCGGGCUUGGGGUGUUAGAUAGAUCGAACGGCUUGUUCUGCUCUAGGCACGAAUCAAAUCAGGGAAGUAUGAAGUAUGGGUUCCCAUUCCCAAAACCUAAUCGGUACUGCUGGAGAAAUGAAAGAUAGAGCAUAGAAUCUCGGCGACACCUGAUCGAUGUUGAGAUUGAGAGAAGAAGAGGAAGUUACAACAAAGGUCUUGGAGUCUAAAUCAAGGAGGAUACAUUGGAUUGAGGUCCAAUGAAAUUGAGUCACGAUAAGAGGAGGGGAGGAAGCGACAACAUUCACGGAUUAAGGGAAGAGAGCGAUCGUACAACGCUUGGAAAAGGUUCCUGACGGCGGAGGAUAGCCAAGUAGCAAAAGCAGCGAAGGAGGAUGCAACGGCACCGAGCAUCGGGGUUUCCACAAUUCUUGGAGGCUUCCGGAAUCCCCCUCCGAAAUCUGGGAUGGCUCGCUGGUGGCAACUAGUUUCGUCGAAUAAGAAGAAGGGGGACCUCCCAACUCUAUUCUAGAAUUUGGUUAUUCUUAAGUUUAGCUUAUGUGGUUUUGAACGUUUGGAUGGCUUAUAGUUAAGGACUUGGGUCAUUUUUCUCAACAUUUGGAAGUUCCGGAUCGAUCACUGUAACGUAGAGCAUGGUAGGGUUAUUGCUACGUUUUUUCCCCAACAAGUUUCAAUUUGUUUCAAGGAAGUAAUUGGAGCUUUUAAGUUUUUUAGAACUUUGGAGGUGCAUCUCCUCUUAAGAUAUACUGUAUUUGGGAUCCGAGAUCCAUAUCUUGUCAGAUUUCCAAGGGCCUAAUAAAGAAUUUCAGCUCAGUUUUAAUGAUUGUUUAUUCGCAUUUAUUAGUAGUUGUGGGUUUAAGUCGAGUCCAGUGGAAUGAAGUAGGUUGCAUGGGUCGAACUAGGGGUUCAACUGAGUCUUCUAGGGUCGGGUUCUACACCUUCCUUCUUUAUAUAAGCAAGGGACCAGGGGCGACAGGGUAUGAAUUUAUCCUAGGUCAAGGGGUAAGCAGUCCAAUCUCGUAGCUCCCUACCAGCAAUAUACCUCAAUUCAAACUCGCAGCUAGAAACACCAGUAUCGAGCUCAAUGUGAGAUGGAUGAGUUAGAGUGUCUGUCCCUAGCACCAGCUAGCUCACAAAAGAGCUGAUGCUAGCUAGCUCCAGCUUGCUAUGAGUUACAGUGAGGUUCCCGGUGAGUCCAAGCAUCUGUACCAACACGGGAAUCGCACCAAGGUCAAGUCCAAGGUGCUUCCAUCACACCCAGGUCAAGUCCAAGGUGCAUAUUUCUAACACUCCAGGUAGUAUUCUGAAACCAAGAUUCAUAAGUCGCUAUAUAUGAAACAAAAUAUCACAUGUUGGAUACUUAUCUUGUAGCACCCUGGUUCUAAGCUGUUAUUUCAGUUGUUGAACUGUGGUUCUGGAAAAAUACUGACGAUUUAUGCUCAAAGACUCACCAUGGGUGUGGUGGUCUACACCACGUCUGUGGCUUGUGAAAGACCACGAGCAUGGUCCCCUGAUGAUAACAGAUAUGACCUCUUGCUGAUCACAGGUGUGGCAUGAGUUUACCUUGGUAUAGCCCCUUAUGCACCACGGGAGUGACCUCGUGCUGGCUAUAGGCGUGGUGGUUGGUAGCACAGCUGGGACACAUCAGGUGUUUAAGAAACUGUGAGGACAAAAUUGAGCAGUUCAGCAUUUCCUUUCUUUUCUUUUCCUCUGAAGUUCUUUGACGAAAAAGGGUUUCUUUAGAGAACUUGUAAUCAAAUGAGAAUCAGAGUUAGAUUGCCACCAAAUUUUAGGGAGAGGUGAGGGGCUUGAGAGUGAAUCCUUUUCCUAGCUCUUUUAGGGGUAUUGCGAUGAUUUUUCCUCUAUUCCAACCUUUCUCAUAAUAGCUAUCUGAAUAAGUUUCCUGGCUGAUUUUGUGGUUUAGUUGCUAUCUUUGGAUUCCUUCUCUUCAGAUAUCCUAGGGAAGUGGAGUUAGGAUUCAAGUUUUUUCUCUCGGACCAGAACCUUUCGCUAACUCGAUGUGGGGAUUUGUGUUUUUAUAUUUCUGAUUUGCCAAGUAGAGUUGCUCGUAGGUUCUGUUUUGUUGUUUCAUUAUAUUCCCAUGACGAGGAUGAUGAAUGUGAAUUUUUCUAAGGCUUGAUGUAAUUUGUUAACUGUUUCAGCAUGAUUCUUGUUGAUGGUUACACAGUAGCAUGUGAUUUACUGUACUUUCAGUAUGUUAUAAUAUUACUAGACUGGACUAGUCUCUAUUGUGAUGUGUGACGGCUACCUACCCCCUAAUUUCAUGAUCCCCUCGGUAAUCUGAUGUAUUGUAGAUUAUGCCUAGGAGCUUCUCACAUGGGUUUGGGAUUUCAUGAUCUGAUCCACCAUAACCUAUCCAUUUUACAGUAAGGUUGGCUAGCACUAGGUAGAAAUGAGAUUAUGAUUGUAGGACUAGUAUGGUCAUUUUAUUAGAUGUGAGAACCAAUCACAUGUGCUUCUUGUUAGCCCUUGUUCACUUCAUAAUUAAUGUAUACAUGUCACUAUUCUCCGCCGCCUUUCAUGUUAGUGACUCAGUGCCUCUAGUAUAUCUCCUUGUUUUUUGAGAUGUUACCUUUGGAUUGUACCCUUUGGAGAGAGUUUCUAUUUGAUUAUGGAGAAAGGCAGCCUAAUUUUGGCUUUUAAGAUAAUACAUUUUUUCAUUUGCUUUUUUUACUGUCUUGGAAUGAAUGUAGUUUUAGAGUCUCUUCGGUUUAGUAAAGCCCCUAGUUAGGUUGCAUGGGUCGAACCAGGUGAUUUGAUCAAGUCUAUUGUAUUGGUGUGCUACUAGUGUACUAGAGGCAUCAUGAACCUCAUUGGGAACAAGAAUUCCAUAUCUAGUAAUGGACUUCCGGGAGUAAUGUUUUUUUGUUUGCUAGGUGUCUAGUACAAAAUGUGUGGUUUUGAACAAAGGAGUUUUCCAAAGUUUUAAAAAGCAAGAACCAUGGUUAGAGAGUAUCGAAAUGUUUUGAAAGGGUCAUUGAACGAUGUUCUUCUCCGUAUGUGCCGUGAACAGUGACACCAAGAGGCGGGCCAUAUUAAUUAAGUGAUACCCCCUAGCACCUAAGCUGGACUUUGAGGAGUUGACAAGGAUAUCACCUUUGAUGGUAACCCUUUUGAUCCUCACAUGACAGUAACUAGCUAUGGGAGCUGGUAAAUGCGUUUGGAUACCUGAGGCAUACCCCUAAGCAGCACCUAAUGUAUGUUGCUUUCCUAUUAAGGAUGCAACUAAGGAGUGGUGGACCAACCUAAUCGAGGUCAGGGACAAUCGCUACCAUAUGGAAUGGGAUGACUUUCGGGUCCUCUUGCAGAGGGAAUUCAUGCCAGUGUAGUCAUAAAAGAACAAAAGAGUUUAGUUUUAGAGUUUGAAGUAGGGCGAACUAAAAGUAGUGGACUACUAUAAUGAGUUUCAUUAAGUUGAGUAGCUACUACAUGGUAUCAUCUGAGCAAAAGGAAGAGGACCUCAAGUAACAAUUUCAAGAUGGGCUGAUGGCUCACAUCUAACUCGGAGUCACCAGUGGUGACAUGGACAAUUUGGCUAAUAUCAACACAGUAGCCUUGAGAGUGGAGCACCUCGAUGAGAGGAUAGGAGAGCGGUUGGCCAUGCAAGAGGAGAAGAAGGAGAGACGUACAAUCUCUGCAGGGGUACCUACGAGGCCGGCCCCUCGGCGCAGGAAUGAAAAUAUGAGGUUUUCCCUCGUACAUCAGACCCGCCACUCUUUGCCUACUAUUUAACCAGUAUAGCUGAAGCAGUCUACUACAGUGGUGGACUGCCCACUUUGCUCAAACUGUGGGUUCCUGCAUGGGGGAAUAUGCCAGAAGAAGUUCAUAGUAAGUUUUAAGUUUAGCUAGUAGGGCGACUUUGCUAGAAAGGUCCUAGGGCAGGGGAGGCAUGCAUGAUCAAAAGCAAUAGUACAACCGAACCAAACUAUAGCUGGUAGUCAGAUUUGAGGCGAGGGUUUCAAGACCCCAUACUCGAUGGUAAUGUAGUGCAUCACAGACAGACGUCACAACAAGGUGGAAACACCAAGUCUAGAGAAGAGUGUAUGCAACCUUAGUUAAAGCAGAGGUAUCCCAAGGUAUUAUCACCUGUAUGGCAGCUAUGUCUAGCAUAUCUGUGUAUAUCUUAUUUUAUAUGGGUGUCACCCAUUCUUUCAUUUUUAUUAUGCUUCUACGUUACAUGUCUUGCCUGAUAGGAUGAGUAAGCCGUUCGGAGUAAGUAGCAUAAAUGUAUAGCUUUUUAGUGAAAUCUAUUGUGAAGGGGGUGACUAAUCAUGUUCGAUUCACCACGUUCAUCGCCCUCAUUCAAACGACAUUUCAAGCAUUUUUGUAUAGCUUUGCUUAGUUUGACGUAAUUUUUGUGAUGGAUUGGUUGGAUUGCAUGGAGCGAUGGUGGACUACAUGCAAGAGGAGAUAAGUUUCUAAACACCUAGGAGAGAUGGUGUGGUCAUCAAAGGGUUCAAAGGUUAGGGACACAAAGGCUAUCCCUUCCUUUCGGAUUUAAAACUAGAGAAGCUAUUAAGGAAGGGACGUGAGCCUUUCCUAGCUCAUGUCUUUGUUGGUUUUGUUGGGAGGACUAGAGAUGUGCAAGAGUUUCCUUAUGUGUUUGUAGAGGACCUACCUAGGGUGCCUUCCGAGUGUGAAGUGACCUUCGACAUCGAGAUAGUGUCGGGUACAACGCCUAUCUCUACAACCCCUCAUAAGCUGGCGCCAAUGGGGUUGAAAGUUCUCAAGGAGCAGCUGUAAGAAUAACUAGAUAAGGGAUUCAUCCAACCAAGCAUGUUACCUUGGAGAUCACCAAUCAUAUUUUCAAAGAACAAAGAUGAAACUAUGAGGAUGUUAGCUGGACCAAGUUACUGUCAAGAAAAAGUAUCCCCUCAGGCGUAGCGAUGACUUUUUUGAACAGCUUCAGGGGCGCGGUGUUCUCCAAGAUCGACUUACGGUCUAGAUACCACCAAUUGAGAGUAGAAAAUGAUGUUAUUCCCAAAAUAACCUCCAGGGCGAGGUAUGGCCGCUACGAUUUUUUAGUGAUACAUUUUAGAUUUUGAAUAAUGUGUUAUGUGAAUACUUCGACAAGUUUGCCAUAAUUUUCAUUGAUAACAUCCCAAUCUACUUUAAGACUGAAGAGCAACAUGUUGAGAACUUGGGAACUUUAUUAGAGACCCUGAAGUUCUCUAGAUGUGAAGUUUGGCAGAAAGAGGUUAUAUUUAUGGGAUAUUUGAUCACAAGGAAGGGGAUUUAAAUGGACCCAAAUAAAAUUAAGGCCAUUGUUAACUGGUCACCUCCUAGUAAUGUGACCAAGUUGAGAAGCUUUUUGAGCAUUAUUGGCUACUACAAGUAGUUUGUAGAGGGAUUCUCAGAUAUAGCAUCUCCCCUUACCAAACUGACUAGGAAAGAUUUUUUUUUGGAGUAAGGCUUGUCAUGAGAGUUUCGACGAACUGAAGAAGACGGUCACCUCAGCUCUUGUAUUCACCCAGUCGUUCCGUGGGGGCGAGUAUGUGGUAUUCAAUAAUGCAUGCUGCCAAGGGCUGGGUAUGUGUUAAUACAAGAUGAAAAUGCGGUAGUUUAUGCAUCUAGAAAACUCAUGGUGCAUGAAGUGAACUAUUAAAGAAUUGAUGAGAGAAAGCUUUCAAUUGUGUAUUGAAGUUUAGGAUUACAUAGGUUAUAUAGAGCUAGGAUAGGAGAGUCAUUACUUCAACGGGAAAGCUUUAAGUAUUAUUCCUAUGCUAAUGAGGUAAAAAUAUUAAAUACUAUUCCUAUACUAAUAACGAAAAAAUGAUAAUAUUCUUCAACACUCCCCCUCGAGCAUAAUCAACCAACCAUGACUUUCAAGUUUUGAAUAUAUCUCUUGAUAGUGACUUUAUGAGAAUGUCUGCAGUUUGCUUCUUUGAGGGAACUAUUCCUUUAUUGACAUUAUAUGUAAUAAAGUGUCAAUCAACUUCAACAUGUUUGGUGUGAUCGUGAUGAACUUGAUUGCAAACAAUAUUGAUGGUUGCCUGACUGAAGUUCAUCGAGUAUACGUUUCAGCCAAAUGCUUUCACACAUGCCUAGAGCCCGAGCUCUAUACUCAGCCUCUACACUGGUUCUUGACACAAAACUUUGAUUCUUACAUCUCCAUGUUACAAGGUUUCCCAAUACAUAGCUAUAAUAUCCGGUAGUUGACCUUCUCUCUAUGAGGUCUCCAACCCCUAGCAUCAGUGUAGAUAGAGAUUGCUCUCUAGUUAGUUUUCUUGAAGAAGAUACCUUUUCUCGGAGCUCCUUUCAAAUACCACAGAAUCCUUAUAACCAUCUCCAUGUACUCCUGAUUAGGGUUAUGCAUAUGUUGGCUAAUAAUUCCAACAAUGAAUGUGAUCUCUAGACGAGUGUGUGUCAGAUAGAUGAGCUUCAUAAUAAGACUCUCAUAACAUCCUUGCUAAGAAUUUGAUUCUGUUUUAGAGGUAUAUCGAUUGGCUUGCAAUUCAGCAUUCCUACUUCUUUUAGUAAGACCAAAACGUACUUCUGUUGGGAUAUUACAAUCCCUUUUGGAGAUCUCGACACCUCUAUUCCUAGGAAAUAUUUCACAUUUCCUAGGUCCUUGGACUCUAGUUCGCUAGCAAGUUAAAUCUCUCAAUUUCCUUAGCAUCAUCUCUAGUGAUUAUAAUGUCCUCCGCAUACACAAUUAGGAUGGACAUCCUCCAGCUAGAAAAGUUUUUCACGAAUAAGGUCUGAUCAGCCUGACACAAGUAGUAAUCCCCUUCUUUGAUAGCUGUAGUGAACCUAUCAAACCAGGAGCGAGGAGAUUGCUUUAACCCAUUUAAAGCCUUUUAAAAUUUGCACACUUACCCUUCCACUGGAUUCUUCACACCCGGAGGAAACACCAUGUAUACCUCUUCAACAAGGUCUCCAUUCAGGAAGGCAUUUUUUACAUCUAGUUGAUGUAGGGGCCAAUCAUGAUUCACAGAAAGAGAGAAUAAAACCCUAACAGUGUUAAGCUUGGCCAAUGGUGCAAAGGUCUCAUCAUAAUCCCUACCACACUCUUGAGUAAAACCUCUAGCAACCAAUCUAGCCUUGUAUCCCUCAAUAGAACCGUCAACUUUGUACUUAAUUAUGAAUACCACUUGUAGUCAAUAGUGUUUUUCACAGUAGGUAGAGUAACAAUAUCCCAAAUGCCAGUUUCCUCCAAGGCUUGUAACUCGUCUUUGACAGCCUUUCUCCAUCAUGGAUGUUUCAUUGCCUCCGGAAUAUUCCUUGAUAUUGUUUUGCUUUGAGUGCAAUAAAUCAUGUGAAACCCCACCCUAGGAGUCUCGGUCAAACCACUGGUUCAACAAAGGAAUCCUACUCGGGUUCCAACCUGAACCAACCUCUACUCUCAAUUACUAAUAAAAGCGUUUAAAACAAGCAAUAAAAGCUGAAUUUGAAGAUAGGACAUGAAAGUCUAUCUAGUCACUACUCUAGUAAUGUGACCCUGUGGUCCUAUAGGCAUCAACCUAGCAUCAUCCACCCCUAGCAAUGUGUGGAUGGCCUCAUGGGAGAUUAGACAAUGAAACCACCCCUGAAUACCAUGUGAGCACCAUCUGUAGGCAUAUAUAACAUGCCCUGCCUAAGCUUGAUUAUAACUUGGGGAUUACGCAAUCCAUGGGUGGGUGACCAACGCAUAAUCAAGAGCUAGUCUAACUAAGCAUAGACAUGUCCUAACAUGAACUGUGAAUCACAUGCCAUAGCUCAUAGGCCAAGAGCUUACACUUGAAUUAUUAUAACUGUAUGUAUAAUAGAUCGCACGCUAUUGUACAGCCUAAGAGCACUACUCUGAAUCACAACACAUGGUAGAUCACACGCUACUGUACAUUGCUGAGAACCCUGCUCUGAAUCAUAACACAUGUCCAGUAGAUCACAUGCUACUAUAUAAACCUGGGAGCCCUGCUCCAAACCUCACUGAGAAUCCAAUCAUUGGAUUCCUGACAACCUAAUUAUAGUUUUAUAGUUUAAGCAAAAAAGUAAUCAUAACCUUCCCACCUCUAAUUAGGUUCCUGGUAGAGUCUGAUUCGUGGAUUCCUUCUCGAAGCUCUAGCCUCAUGCCCUGAUAGAUCUGAAGAGAUUAAUCAAGGAUUGAAUUUCCGAAAACCCUGACCAUUAGGUUUUCCUACAUGGGUUUCAAUCAAAGAUUAAUCAAGGAUUAAACUGGUGGCUCUGGUACCAUGAAGAAUUUAUGAGAGAAAGCUUUCAAUUGUGUAUUGAUGCUUAGGCAUACAUAGGUUUAUAUAGAACUUGGAUAGGAGAGUCCUUCGUUCAUCAGGAAAGCUCUAAGUACUAUUCCUAUACUAAUAAGGAAAAAAAUCUUAAAUACUAUCUCUAUACUAAUAAGGAAAAUUAUAAUAUUCUUCAACAACUAUCCCAUGUAUGAUUUGGAGCUAGCAGCGGUGGUGUUCAUGUUGAAGUUGUAGAAGCAUUACCUCUAUAGUGAUACUUUCAUAAUCAUGGCCGACCAUAAGAGUCUCCAGUACUUAAUGGAGCAAAAGAAACUGAAUAGCAGGUAGUGGAGGUGGUUCGAUUCAGUGAUUGACUACCACCUAGGGAAGGCCAACAUCAUGACCAAUGCCCUUAUAAGAAAGGAGAGACUGGCCGAGCUGUUGAAAGUUGUGGAGGUUAGAGGCCAACCUCAAGGUGGACCCAGUCAAAGGAGUGCUGGCGAGACUUAUGGCGAGGCCUUUACUCUUUGACAUGAUAAAGGAAGCUCAAGCAUAAGAUGGCUUGGUGGUCGAUGUGAGGUAGAAAACUGGUGGAAGGAGUAGCUACUACUUAUACUCAGAGGAGCAUAUUGAUGCUGCUACAAGGACGGGUGUAUGUACCUCUAUGUGUCAACCUGAGGAAGGAUAUCUUAGAUGUGUCUCAUUCAUUAGUUUACACCAUGAACCCAAGAGAGACCAAGAUGUACCAAACCUUCUGAAUGUAUUACUGGUGUGGCCUUCAUGAAGAAAGAGAUGGUCACUCAUAUGUCUGAAUGGGCGGUUGUUAGAAGGCCAAAGCUAAUCAUUGGGCAUUAGAUGGGUUACACCAACCUCUGCCUAUUAUGGUGUGGAAGUUGAAGGACAUCACCAUGGACUUCGACUUUAGAUUUCCUCUAGUAAAUGGUAAGGACGCCGUCUGGAUCAUAGCACAUUCCAUACCCAUUAGCUUUAAGCCUGAUGUGGAAGAACUAGCAAGACAAUAUGUCGACAACAUGUGAGGCUGCAUGGGGUACCUAAACCAUCAUGUAUGAUAGGGACCCCAGUUUCACUUCUUAUUUCUUGAAGGGGUUGCAUACAGCCAUGGGGACGAAGUUGAGCUACUCCACCACAUAUCACCCUCAUACAAAUGAGAAAUCUUAGCACAUCCCAUGGAAGAGUUUAUUUGAUCUUGUAUGCUCGAGCUUCAUAAGUGUUGGUUGAAGUUCCUACUUUGGGUGGAGUUCCCCUAUAACAACUUAUACCACCAAAGUAUUGGGGUGGCUUCUUUUGAGGUGUUGUAUGGAAGGAAUUGCCAGACUCCUCUUUUUUGGGAUGAGCAAAGGCCACAUAUAGUCCAGGAGACAACUUCAGGGGUUCGAGUGAUCAGGCCUUAACUCAACAUUUCUUAUCAAAGACAGAAACAGUUUGCUGACAAGAAGGUUAGAGAGGUGAAAUUCAUGAAAGGUGAUAACGUCUUCCCGCGAAUGUCAUUGUGAAAGUUUGAUGUGAUUCUAUUGGACGGGAAAGUUAGCACCCUAGUUGAUUGGUCCCUUCAAAAUUAUCAGGUGGGUGGGACUAGUGGCCCACUACCUAGCACUUUCGGGGGAAUUAGACCAGAUCCACGACGUGUUUCACGUGAGCGUCUUAUAUGCCUUUAUUCGUAAGUCAGAUCAAGUCAUCCGGCCAUAUGAGGCUGCGCUUGUGGAAAAUCUGACUUUUGAGGAGGUACCAGUUAGAAUUAUGAAUGGGAAAUUCUGACAGUUGAGAAGCCAGGUUGUACCUAUGCUGAAAGUAGUGUGGCAUAACCAAGAAAUGGAACUCACAACUUGGGAGAGGAAAGCUAGUUUGCAAGAGCGAUACCGGGAAUGAGUGGAGAAAUAUCAUGUAGGUAAAUCAUUCUCUCCCUUUCUCGUUGUCUUGGUCUAGGUUUCAAGACAAAACAUUUUAUAGAAGGGGAGAAUUGUAGCACCCCGGUUCCAGGCUUCUGUUUGAGUUGUUGAACUAUGGUUCCAGAUUGCUGUUAUUUCUAGGAAAAUCAUGACGUUCUAUGCUCAAAGUCUCACGACGGGCAUGGUGGUGUACAGCACGACCGUAACUUGUGGAGGACCACGGGCAUGGCCUCGUGAUGAUCAUGGGUGUGGCCUUGUGAUGACCAUGAGUGUGACAUGGUGUUGAUCACAGGUGUGGCCUAGUGUACACCAUGGGCGUGGCCCCUUGUACACCGUGGGCGUAAAAACAUGUUGCCCGCGAGCAUGGUGGUUGGUACCACGGCCGGGACGCGUUAGGUAUUUGAGAAACUUAGCGCACAUAAUUGACUAGUUCAAUAUUUCCUCUCUUUUUUACAAGCGGAUUUUACACUACGUUUCAAGUAUCCAAUAGGAUUACCUAUUAGAAUUAUUUAUUUUCCUAGGGUAUUUCUAAUGCUAUUACUCAACUUAGAUAUGAAAACUAGACCAAGUAAUAAGGAGGAUUGGGUUUUUUGAAUGUUGUAAUAUCAAUACGAAAAUUACUAACUUAAUUAUAAGAAAGCAAAGUGUAAGAAAUCGAGUUUCAAAUAUGGGAUGGAAGGUUCCUCAGACUCAAAUUCAUAAUUGCUAGCAAUGUAUGAAUGAAUGAUAUGUAAUCUAAAUUAAACAAGUAAUUGUGGCUUGGCAAUUUCUUAAGAUGACCUUAGACCGCUCCCACAAAUCUAGGGAUCUAUUUUGCUUGACCUAAAACUCCUCUCUCGGGCUAAUCUGAACUGAAGCAGAACGCACUACCUGUGUUCAAUGAAAUGCCACAACGAUAAACACUACAAAAAUCCUAGACGAACCGCUCCUCUCUCGAGCUAACAGGGAAUCAAGAGUACUUCCUAAGAGACCUAUUGAUCUACGUUCCUCUCGGAUCCAAAAAUCAAUGACAGAGAUUCAAUCAAGAUUAUCACACAAUAAUGAAUUUGAAAUUAGGUUUUAGCAAGAACGCACCAUUAUCCUGAAUAACAUUAAUAACAUAAUAAAAGGGUUAAAAACCCAUCAUCCAUAUAAAUUCUAGACUAAAGCUUCAUUUAAUCUAAACAACACAAAGAGUUUAGCUCCCCAUGGUUCUGGAAACAAGAAAGUGAGAAGAAAGGAAAAUAACCCGAGAAGAAGACGUCUUGCGUCGAGGAAUCCCCGUCUUCUCACCAAUCUUCGAUCCGUCUCCAAUUGUAUAUAAACUUUUGUUUCAAUCGAUCUCUAGAACUCUCACUCUCUGUAAAAGUUUGAAAAUAUGUCCAAGAUAAUGGUUAUCUCGUCCAAAGGGUCUCAAGGGUAUAGUCUUCUAAACCAAGUUGGAGAAGGAAAAGACUUAAAACUUAUGUCUGGACAAAUAGCACGACAUGCUGUUAAAGAGCACAACAGUGUUGUUUGAUAUUUCAUUCGUGACCAUGAGAAUCAGUAGGAACAGCACGGUUGUGCUUUUUAAUAGCAUGGCGUGCUGUUAUUGUAUGCGGAAUUUAGCCUCGACAUGAACAACAAAGUUUUAGACAAUCAAACUAGAUUUCCAACGUCUUAAGUCGUGUCCGGGCCUUGCACACACUGCCCGUCACACUAUGGGAGUUGGCCAUGCUGGAAUUUGUUAUCUUAACUGCAAGGAGGGUGAUGCUGAAGGCUGGUCUAGUGACUGGAGUGAAGUCGUAACAAGGUAGCCGUACUGAAAGGUGCGGCUGGAUCGGGGUCGAUGAAUUUGUCUCCUAUUCAUAUAUCAGAAAAUCGCGGGGAUAUUUGAUUCUUUGGACAUUCAUUAUGUAUUUUCUAUACCACAUAAAUUUGGAACAGGGAAUCUCGAUCAAGGGAGGCUAUAACUGUUGUAAUAAGGGUAUUUGUUGUUAUGUGAUUUUGUUUAUUACAGUUAGUAAAAUUGAGAAAUUAGGUGAAUAGGUGAAGAUGCAUAAAGAAAGGGAUUCAAACCCUUGGUAAACAAAAGCCUACAUAGCAGUUCCAAUGCUACACCUAGAACCACACGCCUGUCUCUCCUACAUGAUGAUUAUGUCCCAAAUAUCGGAUGAAUCGCGAGUAUUUCAUAUCAAAUUGUGAGCUACUCCAGUCUCCCCAUCAUGCUUUGGUUCAUCCCAAGACGUCAAUAUGACACCUGAAAAGCACCAAAAACAUGCAAAACAACAUAACACAAUCGAAGGGUUACGGAGAAACCAAAUAUGCAUAAAACUUCAUGAAUUUGAUCAUGUUGAGGCAUCCAAAUACCCAAAAACUCCUGAGUAAAGCAAGAAUCAAUGUAGUAAUAAUCAUGCAUGUCACUUUUCUUUUCCUCUCAAGUUCUCUAACGAACGAAGGAUUUUUUCAGAGAAGUUGGAACCGAAGAAAAAUUGGAAUCGAGUCACCACAAAAAUUCAGUGAGAGGUCAAGGGGUUGAGGGUGAACUCUUUCCCUAGCUCGAUCAGAGGUAUUACGAUGAUUUUUCCUCUGUUCCAACCUUUCUCGGAAUAGGCUUUCAGAAUUGGUUUUUUGAUAGCUUUUGGGGGUUGGUUCGCAUUUUUGUGAUUCCUUCUCUUGGGAUCUUCCAAGGAAGUGAAGUUUUGAUUUAGGUCAUCGUUCUUAGAUAAGAACCUUCAGGAAAGCUAACUCAAGGUGGGGGUUUCAUGUUAAAAAUUUUAUUAGCUAACUAGACUUGCAUGAUAUGUUAUAUUGCGUUGUUUCAUUAUAUUCCAUAAUAUUCCAUAAGAAGGAUGAUGAAUGUGGAUUGUUGUGAGGCUUGAUAUCUUGUGUUGAUUGUUUAAGCAUAAUGCUUCUUGAUGGUUGUAUAGUAGCAUGUAAAUUACUGUACUUUGAUUACAUUGUGAUUUUACUAUAUGGGACUAGUCUCUGUUGUGAUGUGUGCCAACUACCCAUCCCCGAAUUGUGCAAUCCCCUAAGUGAUGAUAUGUGAUGUAACAUACGUGUAGAGUACCACUACAAGAAAAUUAGAGAUUUUUUAUAAUUUACUAGUCACAUAAGGUCAAAUCGUGACAAAUUAGUCAUAUAUUUAACCUAUAUUUGACUAGUUACUCACGAAUAUAUCCCAAACAUGACGAACUUGUCACAAUUUUGAUAAAAUCAUGAUCAGUUAGUCACAGAUUUAUCCAAACCAUGACUAGGUUAUCAUGGUUUAGGGUUCUUGAGAGAGGUGCCUCGUGAUAGAAGUGUAUCUUGAUCGCGCGGUUUUAAGAGCCCUUACGAGAGGUGCCUGGAAGACGGUCUUGAUUUCUAGUGGUUUGAAAUGUUGGACACACCCAUGUCCUCUUGUUUGUGAGAUGUUACCUUUCACUAUACCCAUUGAAGGGAGUUUCUAUUUGAUUUUGGAGAAUGGCUGCCUACUUUUGGCUUUAAGACCUUCAUUUACUUUUGUUUGCUUCUAUGUUCGUCUUGGAAUGAAUAUACUUUUCGAGUCUUCUCCGGUUAGUAAAUCCCUAGUUAGGUUACAUGGGCCAAACCGAGUAGUUCAACCGGAUUUCCUAUGACGAGGUUCUAAAUAUCUCAACUUGCUGAAGAGACAUUUAACAAGUAACCACUUAAACUCUUAAUGUUUAUUGGAACGGUGUUCGGUUUAGGCUUCAGGAUGAAACCUAUUCAAGGUGGGUGAGUUGUAAUGCACCAUUCACGGGUUAGUUCGAACCGUUGGUCAAACUGUUGACUUUGAUCAAAAAAUCAGUGUUGCUAGUCUGACCUCUGUAGGUCGAGCAACGGCCGUCAGUUGGUCAAUAGACUUUGACACCGUGAGUGGGUAUUGCUUGACUUAACAACCAUUGUCAAGGCAACGUUUGUUGGUCCUAUUCAUGAUAAAUAAAACUAGCUCGAGGACUAGUGGUAGAACUACUGUUCCCAGUUACCCUUCUCCGAUUUUUGCGAUUUCUUAUGAGUUCAGUCUUUUCUCCCAUUCGGUGCCCGUUCAUCAUCUGAUCGCCUCGGGACUUCAAAGUAUUGUUACGAAGAGGUUGGAAAAUGAUCUUCCUCUUUUGUUUGAAGUUAAUCUAUGUUCACUAGCUUUUAUUCCAUCAUUGGAAGUGUUGGAUAAAUAUAUGGAUUCCUAACGCUUCUAUCUUGGAUUCCCGAUGGGGAUUCAUGGCUGGAUUUCCAAAUCGUGUGUGAACUAUUUUUCAUGCAUUGGAAGCUUCUCCUUCUCAGAUCUUUUUUCGUCAAAGUAGAGGUAGGGGUUUACAUACAAUUUUGUUUUGCUAUGCCUAAAGUAUUUUUGAGUAAUUAGCCCGAGGAUAAUUGGUUGACUAGCAUAUGUUUGUCUAUUCAAGUCAGACUGAAGAUGUCUGCUAUUUUUUCAUCUCCAUAUCCAUGAUGUUGCCAAAAAGCUAGAAACUCGUCAAUGUAUUCCAAUCAUCAUAAAGAGUUUCACGGUUUCUUUGAUGCAUCCUAGAGAUGCACUAAAUAACUACCAAAGUAAUUAGGGUUAAAUUUCUUUGGGUCUCAAUGUGUUGUCUAUUUAAAUUGUGCUAAAUUAUAAUUGAAAUAAUCUAGUUUGUGGAGCUACCUAUUAUAAUGAUACAAAUGACUAAAAUGGGCGAAAGAUUGAAAGUAAUAUUGGUGAAAAACAAAUGGAUGAAAUUUUCUUAGAUUUCAAAUUUCCUAGUUUACCAAGAUGAACAUCAAACACUCAAUCAAAUCAAUUUAUAAAAAAAAAGUGAUAAUCAUUCUACAAUGACAAUUCUUCUCUACUUAGGUCAAGCCCUCUCUAAUUCUGCCAACCUACUACUAAUCUUAGAGAUUUAGUCUCCCCUCUCGGGUCAUGUAUCUAAGACAUAUAUAACAACUUAUCGAUCUAAACCUACCAUGAUUAUGGACCUGACUAACGAGCCCCCUCUCUGGUGACACUGACUAAUCAAGUUAAUGACUUUGGUGUUCUAAGAAAAUAAUGUUCUUCCAAGACGAACUCAAUUUUAACAUGAUCCUAUUCAAGUUAAUCAAGAAAAAACAGGAUAAUACUCAAAAUCAAUUAUAAGAUAACAUUCCUUCAAUUUUUUAUUAAUCAAAAUAAUCAAAACAUGAUGCGUUCAUCAGGAAUUCAUCAGGAAUACGACGCAAGUCCUGAAAAACGAGCAAUGACCUCUCAGCCACAUUGGUGCCUUAGGGUUAGUAAAAAUUUGCUUGUAUCUUGUGUGGUAAAGCGCAACUUUGUGUUUUUUGAAAAGAUUUCAUUUUUCCUAUCCAGUCGUCAUGGAUCAUCCACAUAUAUCGUAUCACUUUGUUUAAGGCCUCGAUGAUGUCGAAUACCUAAAAAUAUAAUAAGAAUUGUAACACCUAAGGUGAAUCACACAUCAGAAAAAGAAGGAGACAUCCAUGGCAUCCCAAAAAGUAAAUUUGUGAAGGCUGAGCCCAUACUGAAUAAUAUCUUGUCGGAAAAGAUCAGAGUGUUACAACUGGUAUCAAAGUCUCUUCGCUUGCUCUCGUGGAUGGUGGUGGGUGUGGGAACGUUUUCAUCCGCCCGCUCACGCUCAUGGCGUCCCCGUCUCUCUCGCCGGUAAUUUGAAGGCCUGGAGUCGCCACCAAUCUAUUAAAAGUGGAUUGGACACUUGGACCCAGUUUAGACUUUGGAGCCUAAACUGGGCGUGGCCUGCAUUUAGAGAUCUGGGUAAGGGGUGGUUAUGUGUGGGGAAGGAUUAGCACCCUCACAACGCCCGGUAAACCAGUAUUACGAAAACUGAUAACUUUGAUGUGUUUUAUUGAAUGUGCAUAAUUUUUACUUGGGUGAUUCGCCAUCCUCAAUCUAUUUUCAUUAUUUUUUUCACAUCCUUUUAAAAAUAGAAAUCGAUAAGUUAUUUUAAAUUUGGGAAUAAAAUGAUAAAUUCUUUUAAAGUUGGAAAGAAAAUGCUCAUUGUUUUAAAUUUGGAAAGAAAAUGAUAAAUUGUUUCAAAGUUGGACUCUAAUCUCUUGACAGCCUACAAAUCUAGAGUUCAGGAUCACAGUCCAUGUAGUUCGAUUUGAAAAUUUUGAUUUGAGGUGCAACUGAAUAGUUGCAUUUUGUUGGUUGUUUUUGAAAUUUUGUGAUUAUUUAUAUUUCAAGAAUUUCACGUGAGUUUAAUAUCGGAAGGUCCGAUGUUACUUUUCUCAUUUUGUGUUUCUUUAAAAGGAUUUUUGUGUUUUUAUAAUUUUAUUAGUUGUAAAAUGAUUUGUUUGAAGAUAUUGUAUACUUGUACUUUCCCUUUUGAGAAAGUUUACAAUACUACUUGAGGUUCUUCGCGAAUUUUCGCUCUUCCAAAAAAUAUGUUACUGGACGAUUAUUUUUGUGAUAGAGGUAUAGUUUUUAAGGAAGACUCGGGCCUUUCUCUGCUGCCUACGUACCCAAUCUUUUGGGAUCAAAGUCCACGUAGUUCGGACCAAAAAAUUGUUGACAAUUUCACGUCAUUUUUACUAUUGUAAAAGUCUACAGUACCAUGCCCAUUUCUUAUAAACUUUAAAAGUGUUUUUUGAUUGUUUUGCUGAUAUGAUUUUUUUAGUAUAGAAUGUUCCGUGUUUCGAUAUUUCGAAGCGGGUCAUACUAAUUUGAGAAUAUAAUAUCAAGGAAGAAAAGAAUACACUUUCGAGCAAAACUGUAUGUGAACCUCUUGAUUCGUAAUUAUAUUAUUAUUUAUAGCUUUAGGAGAAUUUUUAAUUGUUAGUGAUUUGAAUAAAAAUUGUUGAGGGUUUGAUAAAUUGAUGCCCUUUUUUAGGAUCCGGAACUCUUGUUCCGGAUACCGAAUACUUGUAACAUUAAUAUAACAUUUUUAAUGGUUUAUUACAUAUACAAAUAUAAUUUGGUUUAAUUUUAAUUAAUUUGGUUAAACAAUUGUUUAGAGAUUUGAUUUACUUUAUUGUUUUUUAUGAAUUUUUGGUUUUAGUAUUGAAAUACCCAAUUCCUAAUAAUACUAUGUUUCGCAAUGGCUCGGAUACAGGGUGGAUACCUCCUAUCCAUUGCCCGUGAAUAAUGCCCACGGGUUUUACCCGUCACUGACCUAUUAAACUUGAUGGGUAAAGAAUUAUUACCAAGCCAAUAUUGGUAUGGUUUUCGAGUAAACCCAUGGUUGUCAGGUAUACCCAAUGUGAAGUAAAAAUUGUGAAAUUUUAUUACUUAGAAUUCAGAAACAUAAAUGUAAAAAGUACCCAACAAAUAUGAAUCUAGAGCUAAGAACAUUUACUCAGAUUCCAGAACUCUGGGAAAUGAACUCGGAAAGAAAAGCACAAGCUGAAGUCUGAAACCCUAAAAAUUGUUUAUAUAUCAUAGACAAAACGACGUCAUUUUGUUAUCGGAUCGGUGAUGGGUCGGAUAUCCCAUUAACCAUGACCGCCCGUCGCCCGAAUUUGGCGGGUCGCGGGUGUGCCCAAAACCGACAAAAACCCACGGUUGAUGGGCACAAAUCGGCUCAAUUCGAGCGAGCUCCAGCGGAUACCCAAAACCCAUGGGCCUGCUGCCAAGCCUAAAUAAGACCACCAUAUCACCAUUAUCACAUCUUUUAUAUUAUUAAUUUGUUAAGCAUUUUAAUUAAGCUAAUAAAACAAAUAUUUAGAUAAACUAAACCAAAUCAAUCAUCUAAUUUACAAACCUUCCAGCCAUUUUUUAUUUAUUUUCCUAAUUAAAAUAUAUUAUAUUUUGUUCCUAAAAAGCUUACAUAGCUAACAUCCCAUUAUUCCUUUAUAAAUAUUUGAAUCUGAAUUAAUUUGGACUUCAACUUGAAACUUUUUCUUUCUAGCGGCCACAACGUCGCAGCCGCCGCCUCUCUUGUCCUCUUCUUCUCUUUUUCUUUCCUUCUUUUCAAUGGCAGCAAUGUCAGGUCUGCCGCCUUUCCUCCUCUUCGGUUGCCGAAUCGACAACGGCAUCGACGAUCCCCUCACGAGCGAUCGACCCCCGACCGACAUGCAAGCCCGAAAUCCAAGUAUAUAUUUGAGUUUGAACCAAAAGUAAUAUCGCCUUCCUCUUUUUCAUCGAUGUUAUCACGAUUUUUACUUAAUCUUUUUGUUGCUAUGGGGAUCAGUGAGGAAAUGAACGGAUCCGCUAGUGGAAGCGAGAUCAGUGGCCUGAAACUCGUUGCUCGGGAAUAGGAGCGGCCAAUCCGGUAUAAGAACUCUUCUCCGUCAUCUUAUUUAAACUUUCUAUUUUGCGAUUUUAGAGGCUGGUUUUAGAUACGAAUCCUUGCAAGUACAAGAUGUUGCUAAUCCAACUUGCUCGAGAGAGUAGGAAAGCGAGAGGGAUGGCAAGCAGAUUUUACACCGCUUGUCAAAUACCCAUUAGAAUAAACUAAUGGAAUUGUAUUUCCCUAGGGUCUUUCGAAUACGAUUACACAAAUUGAUUAAGAAAAUGAAUGAUUGUUUGUUUGAUUGUUUAUGAGACCAAUUAUCAACUAAGAAUGCAAAUCAAAAGAAAGCAAAUGCAAGAGAUUGAGUUUCAAAUAUGGGAUGAAGGUUGUCGGAUUCGAAUCCACUAACGCUUGUAAUUAAUGGAUGAACGAUAAGUUAUCUCAAUAUUCAGGUUAUAAUGGUUUGGCAAUUUCUUAUGAUGGACUGAUAUGACUCUUGUGCCUCUAAGGAUCUACUCUACAUUCAAGAAAAACGCACUAAAGGUGUUCGAUGAAAUAUCACAAUGAUAAAUGAUGCAAGAAGUCUAAAUGAUAUGUUCCUCUCUCGAGCUAAUGAAUAAUCUAGAGUUCUUCCUAAUCCACCUAUCAAUCUAUGUCCCGCUCGGACCCACAAAACAAUGAUGUUGAUUCAAUUAAGGCGAUCAAACGAAAUCGAAUCAGAAAUUAGGUUUAGCAAGAACACAUCAUAAGUCUGAAUAACCUCGAUAACAAAUCAAAGGGUUAAAACCCAUCAUCCAUACAAAAGCUAAGCUAAAGCUUCAUCUCAUCCAAACAACACAAAAGUUUUAGCUACUCAUGGUUCGGGAAACAAGAAGGCUAGAAGAAAGGAAAAUAAUACGAUUCCAUUAGAGCAAUCUAGUGGGUAUUUGAUAGCGGUGUAAAAUCCGUUCGUCAAGGUCCUCUAUGGUACCUCUCUCUACGACUCCCAAAGCCUCUUCGUUGAGCUGUUAGGCUACUCGUGUACUCCUCUUAGGCGGCAUUGACGUAUGAGGUUCCAAGAUCGUACAUACAAAAAGAAAAGGGAUGUGGUAAAUGAUAAGCACUGAGUGGCUAUCUAUACUUGUGUAAAACUGAGACUGACAUCUAAUAACGUGAACUAUGAAUCACAAGCAAUAGUUCAACCACCAAGAGCUUAUACUAGAAUCAUAAUACACUGUCUGUAUAGUAGAUCACAAGCUACUGCACAAUCAUAUCAUUUGUACAGUAGAUCACACGCUACUAUACAGCUUGAGAGCACUUCUCUGUAUCACAUACCACAUCAUUUGUACAGUAGAUCACAUGCUACUAUACAGUCUAAGAGCACUCACUCUAAAUCACAUGUCACAUAAUUUGUAUAGUAGAUCACACGCUACUGUAUAGCAUGAGAGCUCCUAACUUGGACCGGCCUCUUCAAUCUUAGUGCGAAUAUGAUAUCUAGAGUAUAAGAAUCAGUGGAUACCGAAGUGUUGAGUACUACCAUAUAUUUUUGGGAGGGCAAUGAUUGAGAAAAAAAAAAGAAAUGAGAGGGUAAUGAUUUUAGCGAAACAACAAACCCCCAUCUGAUUAAGCAAUAUAAAAAUGAAGAAUGCAACUUCCGUAUUUUGUUUGCAUCCCAUCAAAGAAGUUAAGGUUGCGUUUGGUUGGUUACAAAAAAGAUGCAUAGGAUAAUUUUGUCGUUGUUCAUUGAAUCAUUGUCAGCUAUUCCUUUUGAGGGAGAAAACAAGUAGUCAGUAGACCGACUUUGCUAAAAUUACGUAACAUCGUGUUUGAUAAUAUCAUUGUAUCAUCUAUAAACAGGUUUUUAAUUGGAAGAUUGCUAGCGAGUCACACCCUUUACCAAGUACUGCUGCAACCUCAAGUCGUCCGAUUUGGAUUUAGUUCUGUUAAGCAAAUGAAAUAAAUACUUCAAAAUCUCCAAAUAUAAAACUGAAUUCAAAUUAAAUACUUCAAAUCCCCAACUACACAAAUACAACUCAAAGAUAUAGAGCCAAAACUGAAACUAAUAUGCAGACUGCAGUGUUUGUAGUAGUUUACUAGUUUAUUCAACAAAAUAGUAUUCAAAUAACAAACCCCCCACUUCGCCCAACGGCCGCUUGACGCUCUGUGCCUAUUUCUUUCUUCUGUCCGCAGCUGGCUCCCAACUCCAUAGGAUUUCUAUUGUUCAUAUAUGUACGCAACAGAAACUCCCCACCCCACCUUUCAUUUACCAUUUUGCCCAUGCUCCAUUACAUCUUUUUCCAUGAAAGGAGGGAGUGAUUCUGGGAAUUUCAUUACUUCUCCCCACGUCAUUCUUAUGUUGAUGCAAGCUGUUGAUUCCGCUACGGCCUGGGCCCCCUUUCUUUACUUGGAUUCAUGAUACGUCACCUCCCCACUCUCUUUCCUAAUUGCCCUUCCUUUUCUCUCUUUCUUGCUCAAAUGCUUAAUUAGUCGUCACUUAAGCUGAGGACUGUCAACAAAACGUCGUCAGUAUGCCGCGGACUUAAAAUGCAAAUGACAAAAAAUUGAACUAUCGGCUAAGGACUUGAAGUGAGUCAGGCUGCUUCCAACUUUCUACGCAAAAUACAAAAUGGCCAAAUCGAAGAUUAGUUUAAACCAUAUAUUUCUCUUUCGUUUCUAAUAAAUCUAACUUAUUGUCAAUUAAACUAAUAUUUCUUAACAUAAUUUAUUUUCUAUUGAUUUGUGAUAAUUUAAUACAAAUAUCUCAAUAAUAUUUUGGUCAAUUUUGAUAAAAGCAACAGGAUAACGAAAUUGGUAAAAAAUGAAUGAAUAUAAAAUCAAACAACAAUAAGCUAAAAAUAUAUAUGAGAAAGUAAACACAUUUCAAAGUAAAAUAAGAUUCUCGGAAUUCCGCUCAUCACUUUCCUCCUGCUUUUUUAAGGUAGCUGCUAUUUUUUGUUUGAAGGAAAAUAACUGCUUAAAUUUUAUUAAUGAAUCAAUGAGCACAUAUAUGACAAAGCAUCACUAAGCAAUUCCGGAGGGACGUAUGAGCCUCUAACAAGUACACGAGCAACUCCGUCGAACAUGGCUGACUACAAAGCGAGGGUUGCGGGGGAGGACCGCACGGCAUUUCAAGAUCAUCACUCAAACUCGGUGAAAUCGCUUUGUCCCGAACAAAUAAUAGUGACGACUGCCAAUACAUCAGACUCGAAGACAAUAUUUGUCCAACUUUUUUAAUUCGAACUUAUUAUUUCUUAAUUGUGGGCUCUCUAUUUUUUAUCAUUUCAUUUAACAGCGACUAUAUUUACUCACAUGUGGAUUCUUUAUUUGCCAUAAAAUUUCCAAAUUUAACAUGAUGGAUUUUAUUUGACGAGAUAAGUUGGAAGUAAUUUAUGGCUAACCUUUCGCAAAUUUAGAGAAAGUUGAGUUGUCAAUUUGCUAAUGCUCACAUAUCAUGUGCCUAGUGAGUGACCUUUGGGUUUGGGGCAAUUCGGCAAUUCAUCAUGAAUCCACUGUAAUGGCAGAAUUGUGAAUCUUGACUUUAGCAAGGGUACUUAGAACAAGAAUUAGCUAGCUUCUAAACCGCCAUUUUUCCCUCUCUCUAGCCUCAUUCCCUUUGCUUCUUUCUUCCACUGCGAAAAGGGGGGAAAGGCUUCAAAGAAGCUUUAGUGAGCGAGAGAGGAGGGAGAAACGGGGGAGACAAUACUAGUGCCAAUCAGAAAAAUACACACCGGCACGUUAUAGGUGCCGGUGGCAGGUCGUCUGAGAAUAGAAAAGAAAAGGCGCAAACCGGAUGCCAAUCAAUGAAGCCGAGACGCAAAGGGCCGCCAACAGGUCACGGCGCGAUUCAAGGCAGCCGGCAGUGGCGAUGGCGAAGCGAGUCCCGUUACGGCUGUUGCUGCAAGUAACGUCGAUCGCUGGCGGGAUUCAAUUCGGAUGGGCUCUUCAGCUCUCUCUCUUAACUCCCUACGUGCAGGAGCUGGGAAUCCCGCACGCUUGGGCCAGUGUGAUUUGGCUGUGCGGGCCACUGUCUGGUUUGAUAGUUNNN
rnacentral:lncRNA from 1 species